UACGGGGGGGGCAAGCGUUGUUCGGAAUUACUGGGCGUAAAGGGCUCGUAGGCGGCCAGCUAAGUCGGAUGUGAAAUCCCCAGGCUCAACCUGAGAACUGCAUCCGAUACUGGAUGGCUUGAAUUCGGGAGAGGGAUGCAGAAUUCCAGGUGUAGCGGUGAAAUGCGUAGAUAUCUGGAGGAAUACCGGUGGCGAAGGCGGCAUCCUGGACCGACAUUGACGCUGAGGAGCGAAAGCCAGGGGAGCAAACGGG
rnacentral:rRNA from 1 species